CAGAGGGUGCAAACGUUGUUCGGAAUUACUGGGCGUAAAGCGCGUGUAGGCGGCCCUGCAAGUCGGGUGUGAAAUCCCACGGCUCAACCGUGGAAGUGCACUCGAAACUGCAGGGCUAGAGUCCUGGAGAGGAAGGUGGAAUGCUUGGUGUAGAGGUGAAAUUCGUAGAUAUCAAGCGGAACACCGGUGGCGAAGGCGGCCUUCUGGACAGUGACUGACGCUGAGACGCGAAAGCGUGGGGAGCAAACAGGAUUAGAUACCCUGGUAGUCCACGCCGUAAACGAUGAGUGCUAGGUGUCACGGGCUUUGACCCUCGUGGUGCCGAAGCUAACGCGUUAAGCACUCCGCCUGGGGAGUACGGCCGCAAGGCUA
rnacentral:rRNA from 1 species